rnacentral:rRNA from 1 species
UACGAAGGGGGCGAGCGUUGUUCGGAUUUACUGGGCGUAAAGGGCGCGUAGGCGGCCAAGUAAGUUGGGGGGUGAAAGCCCGUGGCUCAACCACGGAAUUGCCUUCGAUACUGCUUGGCUUGAGACCGGAAGAGGUGAGUGGAACUGCGAGUGUAGAGGUGAAAUUCGUAGAUAUUCGCAAGAACACCAGUGGCGAAGGCGGCUCACUGGUCCGGAUCUGACGCUGAGGCGCGAAAGCGUGGGGAGCAAACAGG